rnacentral:rRNA from 1 species
GAUGAACGCUGGCGGCGUGCCUAAUACAUGCAAGUCGAGCGAACGGACGAGAAGCUUGUUUCUCUGAUGUUAGCGGCGGAGGGGAGAGUCACACGUGGAUAACCUACUUAUAAGACUGGGAUCAUUUCGGGAAACCGGAGCUAAUACCGGAUAAUAUUUUGAACCGCGUGGUUCAAAAGUGAAAGACGGCCUUGCUGUCACUUAUAGAUGCAUCCGCGCUGCAUUAGAUGGUUGGUAAGGUAACGGCUUAUCACGGCAACUAUGCAUAGCCGACCUGAGAGGGGGAUAGGCGGCACGGGAGGGGGGACGCGGUCAAGACUCCUACGGGAGGCAGCAGUAUCGAAUCGUCCGCAGUGGGCGAAAACCUGACGGAGCGGCGCCAAGUGAGUGAUGGAGAUCUUCGGAGCGUAAUACUCUGUUAUGAGGGAUAAACAGAUUUGGAAGGAACUGUACACAGCGUGACGGUACCGAGUCAGAAAGCCACGGCUAACUACGUG